GUGAUCUUUUCAUAACACAUAAAAUUUAAAUACAUUUAAUAUGGGUUACAAAAUGGUUAGGUUGGUUUUUUAAAAAAACUUAAACAUCUUAUGUUAGUGAUCAUUUGCUAAACUAAAUGCUUUUUAGAAAAAAUUUAAACCAUGUGGAAGUCAAUAAAGUACAAAUCAAAUUGGGGAUCAGUAUCUUUGUAGCAGUGUGUGCUGUCCACUAGAAUGUUCCAUGAUUAUGGAAAUGUUGUAUAUCUGUGCUAUUCAACAUGGUAACCACUAGUCACAUUUGGCUUUGGUCAUUUGAGGUGUGGCUAGUGCAACUGAUGAAUUUCAACAUUUUGUUUGAUUUUAAUUAAAUUGUAAUAGCCAUAUAUAAUUAGCAUUUAUGAUUAAGUACAGCUUAGGUUUAUUGUAAAAUUUUACAUUUCUCCUUAUAUGUUUAUUUUUUUAAAAAGGUAUCUUUCAAAUAAUCUAUUGUGUGUAUGGUAUGUUUUUCCAUAGCAUUCUCGAUUAUUGGUGGUGGUCAGAAAUGCUACUUAAGUUUGAAUAUUUUCUCUUACUUGACUACCUUGUGACCCACAUUAAAAGAAAGUCUUUGGUUAUUCUGCUUCUCUCUUUCAGAGUCCUAAAUUCUUGGAAUAUAAGUAAAUUGCUAUUUGAGUCUUUAUGUCAUUUCACAUAUUAAGUGACUGUUCCUGAGUUGCUCUGGGGCUUCCUCAAAAAACAACCUAAAUUAUGGAUCCUAAAUGAACACAGAGUACUUUCCUUCAUUUUGCCGAUAUGAGAUGCUGUUCUUUGGGUUCUUUGAUGUUCAAACCUAACUUUGAAUGUUGAAGGAAAUGGUACUUCUCAGGAUGCCUAAACAUGGAUUCUUUUUAAACAGUUCAUUUCACAGCUCAACACACACUUUUUGGAGCACAUGCUUUAUGGUUACUGGGAAUACAAUGUUAAAUAACUGUUUUGCCUUUAAGCAGCUUGUAGUCUAAUUGAGGAGACAGAUGUGGAAAGAAAUCACUUACUUCUUCCCAGUGGCAUUAUAAAAUAGAGGUUAAGAGUAUGCCCUGGAGCUGUGUGACCUUGUUUAUCUAUGGAAGCUCAGUUUCCUUGUGACUAAAAUAAGGAUAUUAGGGUUCUUGUGAGGAUUGAGUGAGAUUAUUUGUAUGUUUGGUGUAUGUUAGCUAAUAUUAUUGGCUACUGAGGAGGUUGAAAUGUCUCAUGCCACUAUUAUUGGCAGUGGAGAGCACUUGAGAGAGAUUUAAGCAGGCAGAUGACAUGGUUGGAUUCACAUUUUAGGAUUAUGUGAAUUGCUGUUUCUGUACUGGAUCAAUAGAUUUGAGGAGGCUGUAGUGAUAAACCUGUUGAGAAAUGAUGACCUGAUCACUGUAGUUAUGAUAGAAUGGUUGGGAGAGAGAGUGUAAUAAUACUUUAGUGUUAUCCAGGUAAGACUUGAUUGAUUUAAUGAAGAGAAUAAAGGAGUCAGAGAUAACAUUUGAAUUUUUGACUUUGGUGUCUGAAUGAUGGCGGCAUUUACAACUGAGUUAUGGAGUGUAGGCGGAGGAUGUGGAAGAGGAGGUUGAGAGAGUGCAUUGAAUUUUGUUCAUGCUUGAGAUGACUGUGAUAUCCAGGUAGGCAUAUUCAGUUGGAUUUAUGUUUUUUUGUCAGGUAGAAGAGUCACGGCUGGACUCCUUUUGUUUUUGGAGACAGGGUCUAGCAUGCUGUAUUGCCCAGUCUGGAUGCAGUGAGUGGUGCUGUCAUACCCUCACUGUAGUCUCCUGGGCUCAAGUGAUUUUCUUACCUCAGCCUCCUGAGUAGCUGUGACUACAGGCAUGUGCCCCACUAUGCCCAGCUAAUUUAAACAAAUUUAUGUUUUAGAGAUGGAUCUCACUAUGUUGCCCAUGCUGGUCUUGAACUCCUCUCACCUUGGCCUCCCAAAGUGCUGGGAUUACACUUGUGAGCUACAGUGCCUCACCUUGACUCUUUAACUGUACUUAAUUGUACAUCGUUAGACACAAUAUUCAAUAAAUGGUAACCAUUAUUAGCACUGUUUUUUAUUUAUUAUGAAGGUGGUAUUUAAAGCAACUAAUAGAUGAGUCUUUCUAAAAAAAAAAAAAAAGUAAAAAGUAAAAGGAGAAGUGGGCUAGAAGGUAGAACAUUUAAUAGAUGGAUAGAUAAAGAGUGACUAUAGAAUGAGAUUAA